rnacentral:rRNA from 1 species
GACGAACGCUGGCGGCGUGCUUAACACAUGCAAGUCAGGGGUGGGCGACCCAUCACCGGCGGACGGGUGCGUAACACGUGAGCGACCUGCCUUCGAGUGGGGGAUAGCCGGCCCAACGGCCGGGUAAUACCGCAUACGACACUGCCGGGGCAUCCCGGGGGUGUGAAACCACUUGGGCUCGGAGAGGGGCUCGCGGCCUAUCAGCUAGUUGGCGAGGUAACGGCUCACCAAGGCGAUGA